GACGUAGGGCGCGAGCGUUGUCCGGAUUUAUUGGGCGUAAAGAGCUCGUAGGCGGCUUGUCGCGUCGUCCGUGAAAACCUGCGGCUCAACUGCAGGCUGGCGGUCGAUACGGGCAGGCUAGAGUUCGGUAGGGGAGACUGGAAUUCCUGGUGUAGCGGUGAAAUGCGCAGAUAUCAGGAGGAACACCGGUGGCGAAGGCGGGUCUCUGGGCCGAUACUGACGCUGAGGAGCGAAAGCCAGGGGAGCAAACGGG
rnacentral:rRNA from 1 species